GGUGACUCCUGACACGCCCUUGAGGUUGAUGACAUUGGUAGUGCAACCUACAUUGUUGGAUAGAAUCAAAGAAAAGCAAGUUUUCGAUGUGGAACUGCAAAAGAUUAGAGGAAAAAUGGUUGAUGGUUGCACCGGCGGUUUCCUCGUGGACGACCAAGGGUUGAUGCGCUUUCGAGGACGGCUUUGUGUUCCGGCGGAUUCGGGAAUUAAAGAAGAUAUUCUUCAAGAAGCGUACAGGGCGCCCUAUGCUAUACAUCCGAGAGGCACCAAGAUGUACAAGAAUUUAAAGUUGAUUUAUUGGUGGCCCGGGAUGAAAAAGGAUGUUUGUGAGUUUGUUGCUAGAUGUCUAACUUGCUAACAAGUUAAAGCUGAGCACCGGUUACCCGCGGGAAAACUUCGGAGUUUGUCGAUUCCCGUAUGGAAGUGGGAGAAGAUCACCAUGGAUUUUGUGACUGGAUUGCCUCGUUCUCAGGCCGGGCAUGAUGCCAUUUGGGUGAUUGUGGACAGAUUGACGAAGUCGGCGCACUUCAUACCUAUUCAUACGACUUGGACUGGGGAGAAGCUCGCACAAGUGUACCUUGACGAGAUUGUGCGACUGCACGAAGUGCCUACUUCGAUUGUAUCUGAUCGAGACACUCGGUUUGUGUCUCAUUUUUGGAGGAGUCUGUAGGACGCCUUAGGCACCUGACUGGAUUUCAGCACCGCUUUCCACCCUCAGAGUGAUGGGCAGUUGGAGCGCACUAUUCAGACUUUAGAGGAUAUGCUCCGAGCAUGUGUGAUUGACUUCCAGGGAGGAUUGUCGCAGUAUCUACCUAUGGCGGAGUUUGCUUAUAACAACAGUUAUCAAACAAGCAUCAAGUGCCCUUCGAAGCACUUUAUGGACGGAAGUGUAGAUCGCCACUUCAUUGGAGUGAAGUUGGCGAGAGACUUACUUUAGGCCCUGAUGUGCUCUAGGAAGCUGAGGACAAGGUUCGCAUUGCUCGGGAGCGACUCUUGACGGCGCAGAGUAGACAGAGGAGCUACGCUGAUCGAUGGCGGUGAGACUUGGAGUUCCAAGUUGGAGACCAUAUUUUCUUGAAGGUCUCGCCGACUAGAGGAAUCAAGAGAUUCGGGAUUCGGGGAAAGUUGAGCCCCCGUUUCAUUGGACCGUAUGAGAUUUUGGAACGUGUAGGCCCGGUAGCGUAUCGACUUGCCCUACCGCCGAAUCUAUCGGGCGUGCACAACGUUUUUCAUGUAUCGGUCCUUCGGAGAUACAUUCAUGAUCCAGCUCACAUUUUGGAUGGUUUACCAGUGGAGCUGCAUGAGGAUUUGAGCAUCGAGGAGCAACCAGUGAAGAUUUUGGCUCGCGAGGUGAAGAAGCUGUGGAGUCGGGAUAUUCCGUAUGUGAAGGUCCUUUGGAGCAACCANNNNNNNNNNNNNNGAUUGACGACGGCCCCAAUCCUUACCUUGCCGACUGCUGGAGCAGGGUAUGUGAUUUAUAGUGAUGCUUCCUUUAAUGGAUUGGGCUGUGUUUUGAUGCAGGGCGGGAAAGUGAUCGCGUAUGCAUCUCGCCAACUGAAGGACUAUGAAAAGAAUUACCCCACCCACGACUUGGAGUUGGCGGCCGUAGUCUUUGCAUUGAAGCUAUGGCGCCACUACUUAUAUGGCGAGCGGUGCGAAGUAUAUACGGAUCACAAGAGCUUAAAGUAUCUAUUCACUCAAAAGGAGUUGAACUUGAGGCAGCGCAGAUGGUUGGAGCUACUCAAGGAUUAUGAUUUGACAAUAUUUUACCACCCGGGCAAGGCUAACGUGGUGGCGGAUGCGCUAAGUAGGAAAUUGACAGAAAACUUAGCGAUACACGUUGUUACUCAAGCGCAGUUGAUUGAGCAGAUGAAGUGGUUGGAGUUGGAGGUGGUCACUCCAGACACACCCCUAAGGUUGAUGGCUUUGGUAGUGCAACCUACAUUGUUGGAUAGAAUUAAAGAAAAGCAAGCUUCCGAUGUGGAGUUGCAAAGGAUUAAGGAUAAAAUGGUUAAUGGUUGCAUCGGCGGCUUCCUUGUGGAUGAUCAAGGAUUGCUGCAUUUUCACAGACGGCUAUGUGUACCGGCGGAUGCGGGAAUCAAAGAGCACAUUCUUCGUGAAGCACACCGAGCACCGUAUGCUAUACAUCCGGGUGGCACCAAGAUGUACAAGGACUUAAAGUUGCUCUAUUGGUGGCCCGGGAUGAAAAAGGAUGUUGGCGAGUUUGUAGCUCGUUGUUUAACUUGCCAACAAGUAAAGGCUGAGCAUCGAUUACCCGCGGAAAAACUUCAGAGUUUGCC
rnacentral:lncRNA from 1 species